UACGAACCGUGCGAACGUUAUUCGGAAUCACUGGGCUUAAAGCGCGUGUAGGCGGGCCGGCACGUCGGUCGCUGAAAUCCCCCGGCUCAACCGGGGAAGGGGCGCCGAUACGACCGGCCUGGAGGGGGGUAGGGGGCGCUGGAACUCACGGUGGAGCGGUGAAAUGCGUUGAGAUCGUGAGGAACGCCCGCGGCGAAAGCGAGCGCCUGGACCCUUUCUGACGCUGAGACGCGAAAGCCAGGGGAGCGAACGGG
rnacentral:rRNA from 1 species